rnacentral:lncRNA from 1 species
AUUCAGUGUAAUCUUUGUCAGAUCUAUUUUUGUUUCUUAGAUUUUCAUUUUAGCCUUCUACAAAGGCUCUUUUCCUUGGCUACUCGAAACUUAGGUGGGUAAUAAAUUAGAAUAGUACUAUCAAAUCCAGUGUAAGAAUAGUUUGAACAACCAUACAAAUUGUCUACCUGAAGCAAUUUUUAUGAUUUUUCAAGCUUUUCUUUAGAAAGCCAUAGUUGACUUUGAUAGCCAGAGUCAACUUUAAUUUUGCUUACGAGUGUUAUAAAAAAGGUAGCAUUUUGUUGUUGAACUUAAGUGAGACUGAAAUAAAG